rnacentral:lncRNA from 1 species
UGGGAUCCUACCAUCUCUCCAAUCUAACCUUGACAUUUUCUAGAGCAUCUGUCUUAUUUCCUUCGUAUAUAUGUAUUUGAUUAACGUCUGACUCCUCUUCUAGGUUGAAAGGUCUCUAAGGGCAAAGUCCACGUUUAUUCUACUGACCUCUACUCCUGAUACGUAUCUAGCUUUCUCUGGACGAAGAGACUGACGGGUGGUUGGAUGAUUGGUGGAAAAUGGAAGGAGAAGAUGGAUGGAUAGGUAAUGGAUGGACGCAUGAACGGAGGAACAGUCACCUCUUCCUCUCAGGUGACUGGCCCUCACUUUUACCUCCUGCGUCCUCAGUGCUCAGAGAACCUGGCACUGUCCCCUUUUCGGCUCGGUCGCCCUUUGUCCCCUCAGGCGGUGCUGUGAAUCCAGUACUGUGAGCACAGUCUGGUCCGCACACAGCGGGCGCUCCGUAAAUUUAUCCUUCAGCGUCAUCUCACUUUUAGGCAGGCUCCGCAGGCGGGCACCGGCCGGAGCUCGCGCCUGCGCCAGGGGUGGGCACUGCUGGCGCCACGUGGACAAGGGAGGCCGCAGGAUCCGCGGACCCGGCGGGGGCGGGGGCGUGCCGGCGGGGGCGGAGCCUCGGAGACCCGGAUGCGGCCCCGCCCCCGUCCGCGGAACCGGAAGUGGAGCGGGGCGCCUGGGAGCUGCGGGCGCGGCGGAGGCUGGGCAGUGCCGAGCCGGACCAGACCGACCCCAGUCGGCGGUGAGCGAGCUCGGCCUCCGCCGGGCGGGGGAGCGGGCCGGUUCCUCAGCUGCGGUCCCCGGGCGCAGCCAGGUCCCGAAACGGGAAGGAAGCGGCGGCCGCGGCGGUCUCGCCGCAUUUCCGCUCGCGGUUUCGCGCGCGGGGGGAGCGCGGGCGAGGCUUCCCGGGGCUGGGGGCCGAGACAGAAGCUCUCCCCAAUGCCUGGGAAUUCCUCGUUGGAUUACUGCGUUUUCAGCAGAGUCUUGUGAGCGUCUCGCAUCUGCACCUGGAGAGGAAAGGUUUGUGCACUGUGAGCAUGCUCAUGUGCUUCACUGGGCGGGCAGGGAAACCCCUUUGACAAGGAAUGCGAGGGGUGUUCUCUCCCUGGGUUUGCGGAGAUAG